CAGGGUAUAGCUCAGUGGUAGAGUGCAUGCCUAGUGUGCACAAGGUCCUAGGUUCAAUCCCCAGUACCGUAC
rnacentral:tRNA from 1 species